rnacentral:rRNA from 1 species
AGGCUUAACACAUGCAAGUCGAGCGGUAACAGGGGUAGCUUGCUACCCGCUGACGAGCGGCGGACGGGUGAGUAAUGCUUAGGAAUCUGCCCAGUAGUGGGGGAUAGCCCGGGGAAACCCGGAUUAAUACCGCAUACGUCCUACGGGAGAAAGCAGGGGAUCUUCGAACCUUGCGCUAUUGGAUGAGCCUAAGUCGGAUUAGCUAGUUGGUGGGGUAAAGGCCUACCAAGGCGACGAUCCGUAGCUGGUCUGAGAGGAUGAUCAGCCACAUCGGGACUGAGACACGGCCCGAACUCCUACGGGAGGCAGCAGUGGGGAAUAUUGGACAAUGGGGGCAACCCUGAUCCAGCCAUGCCGCGUGUGUGAAGAAGGCUUUCGGGUUGUAAAGCACUUUCAGUAGGGAGGAAAACCUUAUGGCUAAUACCCAUGAGGCUUGACGUUACCUACAGAAGAAGCACCGGCUAACUCCGUGCCAGCAGCCGCGGUAAUACGGAGGGUGCAAGCGUUAAUCGGAAUUACUGGGCGUAAAGCGCGCGUAGGUGGUUUGGUAAGCGAGAUGUGAAAGCCCCGGGCUUAACCUGGGAACGGCAUUUCGAACUGUCAGACUAGAGUGUGGUAGAGGGUAGUGGAAUUUCCUGUGUAGCGGUGAAAUGCGUAGAUAUAGGAAGGAACACCAGUGGCGAAGGCGGCUACCUGGACCAACACUGA